rnacentral:ncRNA from 2 species
ACUUGUUUUGCGGGAGAGAGGGGCGCCUUGCGCCUCCGCCGAAGGCGCAAGCUCCCAUCAUCGCUCAGGCAUACAGGACCGCAAAACCAUU